GAUGAACGCUAGCUACAGGCUUAACACAUGCAAGUCGAGGGACCGGCGCACGGGUGAGUAACGCGUAUCCCCCCUGCCCAUAAGUAGGGUAUAACCCGCAGAAAUGCGGACUAAUCCCCUCUGCUUAUGGAUGGGGAUGCGUCCGAUUAGCUUGUUGUUGCGGUAACGGCUCACCAAGGCUUCGAUCGGUAGGGGUUCUGCGAGGAAGGCCCCCCACAUAGGAACUGAGACACGGUCCUAACGCCUACGGGAGGCAGCAGGGAGGGAGAUUGGUGAAGGGGCGAGGGCCUGAACCAGCCAAGUAGCGUGCAGGAUGACGGCCUAUGGGUGGUAAACUGCUGUUGUGAGGGGAUAGGUACCGGAAGAAUAAGGACCGGCUAAUUACGUGCCAGCAGCCGCGGUAAUUC
rnacentral:rRNA from 1 species